GGUACGCAUCUCAGAAGCCUCUUUGGUCUUCUCUCCUCAUGCUUAGCCAGUUCCUAGAUUUCAUCUCCAUUCUUAAUCACCAACUCAUUCCCAGCUCACAUGAUCCCACAGAUUAUAGGCUAAGUCUUUAUCCCACGCCACUCUCACCCUGUGUCAUCUUGGAGCCACUAUGUCACCACUGGGGUAAUGGUGUGAAGGGGGCAGAAAAAGAGGCUUAUCUUCUUUAGCACACUUCAGAGGGACUCCAGUAGAUCAAUGUUUCUCUAAACUGGGGUGAUGGGAGGAGGUAUAGAGAUGUGUUCUCAAGGGUCCAUGAGUUUUCUCUGGGGCUUUUUAAGAGAUGUGUAUUUAUUUCAAUUAUGACGUGACAAAAAUUGGUAUUAGUACACUCUAGAGGUUGAAACUGCACACCCUGGAGUCAGAGUUCCUGGAUGCAAAUCCUAACUUUGCCACUUGGCAGAGUGUGCCCUUCUACCUGGGUUCCUGGACAAGAUGAGAAGUUGAAUAAAGUAAACGAAUUUUUCCUCUUGACCUUCUUUCCUUCCACCUUAUUCAGGCGAGUGAGGAACCCAUUCUAGUUUGUAUUUACAGUUAAGUCCUUGCCUUUGUACUAGACUUGCUGGAGGAAGUGACACCUGAACUGAUGCUGAAAAAAGUGAGCAGGCAUCCACCAGUACAUGUGUUACGUAAGCCAUUAAGUUUCUUUCUACAGUGCCUUGUGGUUUGCAAUGAAUUCUCCCAUGCAUUUGGUCCUGACAAAACCUAAAUGAAGUAAGGAAGCAAUACAUAAAUUUAUAUGUAGCUAAUCUGCAUUAUUCACAGAUUCCACAAGUACCAGUUCGCCUGCUGGUUAAAUUUUAUCUGUAAUCCCCAAAUCAACACUUGCAGUACUUUUCAGUCAUUUUCAGACACAGGCAGAGCAGUGAAAUAUUUGAGCACCCACUGCACGCGUUCCCAGCUGAGAUCAAACAAGGUGACGCUUGGCCUUCUUACUUCAGUUCUCAUACUGCAAACAAGUGUCCUUUUUGCUGUCUAUUUAGUGCUACAUUUUCCACAUUCUGUGCUCUUUUUGGUAGAGAUUUUGCUGUUUAAAAUGUCCCUAAACAUAGUGGUGCACAGGGAGGCUGUCAUGUGUCUUAUAGAGAAAAUAUAUGUUAGAUGAGCUUCAUUCAGGCAUGAAUUCCAGUGCUGUUGGCUGAGAGUUCAAUGUCAAUGAAUCAACAAUAAUAUUAAGCAAAAUUGUCUUUAAACAGGAACACACAGAAAACAAGGUUAUGUUUCCCCUCAGAAUAGCAGUUCAAAUAUUUGUUAAUACAGCAUUCCCAGUCACAUUUUAUAGGCCAAACUGUCAGAAAUAAUGAGAAUACAGUGCAGAUUUAUUAUAUAAUAUAUACAGUAUAAAAAAUAAAGGGAACUGAGGCUCAGAGAGGUUAGAGAAUUUUCCCCAAAGCCCGAGGUCACAGAUCUCCUGGGUCCCAGGCAGGUCUGAGUCCAUGCUCCAUCUACUACUACCUUCUGCCUUUAAGGGGGGUUCAUGGCCAAAAGUGUUGUGUGAACAAUCGCCAUUUGCAGAAUUUGGGUAAGGAGGAUUCACUCCAGAUGUUUUUAGCCUCUCCUUCGCUAUACUAGUCUGUGUUGCCCCUUCUCUCUGUCCCUCUUUGUUUUUGGAUCAUCUGUAAUUACCUUGUUAUCACAUGGAAGAUCCUUCCAAGCAAAUGAAUCUGUAGGUACUUCUUGCUAUGUAGCACACGUCUUUCCAAGGAGGGAUCUAGGAAAAGAGCAGGACAGCCAACCUGGGGAUCAACUCCUGUUGAAGCUUAUACAUGAGCCAAUGACAGUUCUCCUCCCUUCUUACCAAUAUUUUAAACUCUAGAAUGGAACAGAUGGAAGGAGAGGUGUUAAAGGGACAUCUGCAGCCUUCUUGAUCCUCGCCCUCUGCUCCCCCACCAGACUUCACAAACCCUUGCAAUUCCUACCCCUCCCCAUUGAGGAGCAAUACCUUUCUGUAAGCGUUUCCAAACACUCAGUUUAAUUUUUGGAAAUUUAGAUCCAACAUAUCUCUUUUCACAGGUCCCACAAUGCUUUAGUGAUGAUGAGUUUGACAGGCAUGACAGAAGAAAGGCAGGAGGGCGGAGGAGAAGAGAGAGGAUUAACAAGUGUCUAAGAAGUGGCGUUUAUAUUUAGAAUUUCCUUCCUUUCAAGGGUUGGUGUGCCAGUCAGGACUCUUAUUAUAAACAACAGAAUCCACUUAGCUCAUUUUAAUAGAAAGAGAAAUUAUUAAAGAAUAUUACAUAGUUCACAGAAUCUCCAGGACAGCCAAGGAGUUCAGCAUAAAGGUGGCCACCCAGGGAAAUGCCCAAACCAAAAAGUGCGAUUACUCCUUCAAAGAGCCCACGGGCAACAUGCCUCGCAUAAACACCAUGGCCUUCACCAAAAACACUGAGCGCUGAACACCAGAACCAGAACCGCAGGCUCUGACACCUCCAAGGCUUUCUGUUCCACUUCCUAAUUGGAUUUUUCCAUGGGCACAUCUGAUUCAUGGAGCUCAGGUCACACAGCUAAGGGACUGACCUGGUCUCAGACCUAAUGGAUCCCCAAAUGGGGACCAGGUCAACUUGUUAACUUGCUGAGUGACCUCAGGGAAGUCACUGAAUUCAUUUGUUCUAGUUUCCUCAUCCUUAAUAUGGAGGAUUCAGCUCAGUGUGCUCUUAAGGUGACUUUCAGCUCAGAAAUGCUGUAAUUUGGUAAUUUUAAGCAUCUGAGAAUGUUUUAUUUAGCACUCAGCCACCCCAGGAUGUUUGGUAAAAUCUGAUCAUUUGGACAAGUCCCAGGAAAAGAACAGAUCAGAGCCUGCAUUGGGUGUUGGAAGCCCACCUGAUGGGAGAAUAUGUGUAUAUAGUGGGAGGUAGGGAGGUCGCUGAUGAGAGUAUGGAGACUUUUAGAACUAGAAGGAAUUAAAAACUAUUCAGGUUUCCCCCUCUCUCUCUUUUUCUCUUUCUCUCUCUCUCUUUCCUUCCUUCCUUCCCUCCUCCCUCCCUUCCUUCUUUUCUUCCUUCCUGCUUUCUCUUUCUCUCUUUCAAUUAUGGAAACAGCCUCAGAGAAGGAAAUAAUGAAUCUAAGGUCACAGAGCUAGUUAAAGGCAGGACUGGGAAUAGCAUUAGCUUUUCUGCUUUCCAUUCCAGGGUUCUUUCCCCAGUGCAGGAAUGACAAACUGAUUUCCUUCCCUUUCCUGUGCUAAUUCUAAUGAAAUAGCAACGGCUACCUUGAGCAUGGUCUUUAGGAAGGCUCCCAGGUCUUUCAGGACUCAGUGGGAAGAGUGCUGUAACUGAUUAGCAAUGUCUGUCAUGACCACAGGAGGGGAGAAUAGUCACCCGGGUUUUGCCAUCCCUAAUUUGCCAGGUCUCAUAGAACCAAAUUGUCAGUGAGGAACUAGAGGCUCAUUCUCCAUUGAGAACCAAUAGAUGAAAGAAAAAUGGAAAACGGUAUAGCUAGUCCUGCAGAAGACUCUUGAAAGUACUUAGCCCCAAAUUAAGAGGUGAUAGUCAGUGUAUGCUUAGGGAACCAUCUCACACCUACAUUCAAAGUUUGCUAAGUAACACUGGAAACAAAGAGAAUUGCAAACUGUUAAAAGGGCAUGUGAAAGCCAGGAUGUGAGAGCUGGGGGAACAAGUUCCUAGAAAAGCAGAAUAAGAUAGCAAUUAAGUUAGUGACACACUGUACAAUACGCACCCAGAAGUAGGGUUUUUUUGGGGGGAGGGGGAGUGAGGGGUUAUAUUGUUCUAACUAAAAUAUCCCUGCUUAGACUAAGACAGUAAAAUUAAUUGAUUUAUUUUCAUGAACAGUUAUAUGUAAAAUCUAUAAGAGCCUAUGAAUUGGGCAAUCCCAAGCCUAAAUUUAAUUCUAGUUAAUGAUAAUAAUAAUAAUAACUAUCUUAAUCCUCAUUAGAAUCAUGUGAGAUAAAUACUGUUAUCAUCACUGUUUCAUAGAUGGGAAAACUGAGCUUUAGAUGGCCUGAGGGACUGCCCUAAGAUCAUACAAUAAAAGGGCAGCAGACCUGGGAUUUGACUAGAACUCAGGAUUUUUUUCCUUCAUGUUAAUUAAAAGCAGAGUCCAACCUGAGGCAUGUUUGAAAAUCUGUGGGAUUUACUAGACGUGAGGUAUGGACCUUUGCAGAACUGGCCCUGAAAUCCUAACCCCUCUUAGCAGAAAAUCGACAUGAUCUUCCUCUUGUUUUCAUCUACUGAAAUUCAAAUCACCAAACUUCUUAGCCUCUCUGGGAAAACUAAACGACUCACCACCGCUUCAAAGGAAGCUCAUGGGGUUUGUGCACAGUGAUUUCACAUCUUCCCUGAAACACCAACACAGCCAAUCCAGGUUAAAGGAUAUCAGCAUUGCCACAUACUCUUCUUUUUCCCAAAUUAAUCAAGAAGUAGGAAUUUCUGACAAAUGCCAUCUGCUGAUUUUUCAGAGAGACAAGUUUUGGUGGUGUGACCAGCAGGUGCCUCGGCUUUUUCUAGCAUGCAGUACCAAAAUAGUCACCAUGGCAACCCUCAGAGGGCAGACUUCCAAAGAAAUGCAUUGUGAGCACAGAAACUCUAGAGCACUUUCAAGCAAGAAGGAAGGAGGCUCAGUGGGCAGGUUUCCAAUGAGGGGAGCAGGAGCUUCUCUGCACACCCCCAGGCAGGACCCCAAGUUUCUAUGUAGUUGGUACAGCCAGGCUCUCAGUUACCCUGGGGCUCAUGCUCCCAGGAAGAGAGAGAAAAUGUGAAUCUGUGGGGCGUGGCAGGCAGAACAGGCAACUCCCUGAUUUUUUGCAGGGACUAAAGUGGCUUGGGAGUGGGACAAGUCCCUUGGAGGAAGGACAAAAGAGGUGGGGCCCUGAGGUGGGAGACAGGAAACUUGGGUCCUAAUCACUAACCAAGUGACCUUGGGCUGUUGACCACCUUUCCAAGUCACAGCUUCUCAUUUGUGAAAUGGGGGUGGUGAACUCACUCUGCCUCAUCAUGGGGGAAAUUGAGGAUAUAUCACCCUUGUGGAGGCUUUUGGUAAAAUGCUCAGUGGGCAGCGAAGGGCAAAAAGAGCAUAGGCUCAGCUACUUUCUGAUCCUAUGAGCCUGCGUAGGUGUCAGAGCAUCCCAGGCUUCGUUCUCCUCACCUCACAGGGAAGAUAAUAAGAGCUGCAUGGCCAUGUGAGUGUUCAGGUUAAUGGGGUACACAUGCGUGAUCAGGGGUGCAAGUCUGUGCUCCUUCCCAUGGGCUCCUGGGACUUAUAAAUCCGUGGCUCGCCUAUGACCUGGGUUUCCACGCUCCCCUAUGGUGUUAGAAGCACACAUACCAAGACAGGAUUACACAUGAGGAUUUUACUUGGGCAAACACUUGAAAGAAAAGGGAGAGGCCAGCCAGGAUGCAAGUCUUACCCGAAACCAGGAUGUAGGGAAAGAAUUUUGGGCAGAAGCACCCUAGACCCACCAUAUGCUCUCAGCAGGCUCAGCAAGGCCAUGAGGGAGUCUUCAAAUCUUAGUCUGCUAUAAGAGAAGGCCCUACCUCCUGGAUGCCAGGAGUGCUAGCACCCCCGCCUCACUCAGUGGCUGAUUGGCUGCAUGAACCCAUAGGAAGUGUGGCUUCAACAAAGAUGUGCACAGCAGCUGGGACCCUUGGUCAGUUUGGUUCCGUGUCUGCAAAGCAUGUCUUGUGGCACUGCAGCUAUCCCCCAUACUAACAUCUUUCACUUUGGCACCCACAACAGGUGCUUUUCUCAGCCCAUACCUCCACUCCCGGAAACUUGCACCCUACACCCACAGUCCCCUCAUCCAGACCAUUAUGAACUUGGGCUCCAAGAUGUCUCUAGACCUUAACUCUGGGAGAAAUAAUAUUCUUGGUUAGGUUAUAUAGCACAGCUGCAAGUGCCCCAUGUCUCUGUCUAUACUUAAGUGCACACGUGUGGGUACACAUGCUUAUUUGUCAGUGUGCAUGUAUAUAAGUGAGCAUAUGUGGAUGAGCAUUUAUAAUUGUGUACAUGCAUGUGAAUUUAUACAAUGAUAUCUAGAACUAUGCUAAGCGUUUUACCAUAGUAUCUUCAUCUUUCCAACUAUCUUCGAGGUAGAUAAGGUAGAUAAAUCUAAAUGUUUUCCCCACCACGCCAUUCAGCUAAUACAAAAGCAGAGCCCAGGAUUGAAUUAGGAAUGUUUUCUUUGAGAUCUGAGCUCUUGUCCUCCCCAUCACACCUACUCAUAUGGCCAUUUGUUGCAUGAAACCACGUAUGUAGGUAUAUAUAAGAAAGGUUAAGACAGAAGAGGGAAAUACACCAUGGAGAGGUUAGAUUGAUUAUAGAUGGGUGGCUGAUAAAGGGACAUGCUCUCAGAAGUCACACACACUCCCCCCAUAUAAUUCUAUUUGUGUAUGUCAUCUGGAAACAUACUGCAUUCCUCCUAUAAGAAUUUCUAUAUAAUAAGCUACAGCACAAAUUUUAGAAAUUCUAAGAAAUUUGAGGCUCUGAUUCUUCUAGUAUAAUCCUACAGGAGUCCCUUUCCUUGUCCUUUCCCCAAAUCCUUGCUUCCAUGGCAAUUUUUU
rnacentral:lncRNA from 1 species